rnacentral:tRNA from 1 species
GGGCCGCUAACUCAAUUGGUCAGAGUGCCAUGUUCACAGCGUGGAAGUUACUGGUUCGAGUCCAGUGCGGCCCACCA